UACGGAGGGGGCUAGCGUUGUUCGGAAUUACUGGGCGUAAAGCGCGCGUAGGCGGAUCUGCAAGUCGGGGGUGAAAUCCCGAGGCUCAACCUCGGAACUGCCUUCGAUACUGCGGGUCUCGAGUCCGGAGAGGUGAGUGGAAUUCCUAGUGUAGAGGUGAAAUUCGUAGAUAUUAGGAAGAACACCGGUGGCGAAGGCGGCCCACUGGAUCGGUACUGACGCUGAGGUGCGAAAGCGUGGGAGCAACAGG
rnacentral:rRNA from 1 species